rnacentral:rRNA from 1 species
UACUGCUAUCAGUGUUCGAUUAAGCCAUGCGAGUUAAAUGUUCUUCGUGAACAUGGCGUACUGCUCAGUAACACGUGGAUAACCUGCCCUAAGGUCCGGCAUAACCCCGGGAAACUGGGGAUAAUACCGGAUAAACCAUAGAUACUGGAAUGUUCUGUGGUUCAAAGUUCCGGCGCCUUAGGAUGGAUCUGCGGCCUAUCAGGUAGUAGUGGGUGUAAAGUACCUACUAGCCGACGACGGGUACGGGUUGUGAGAGCAAGAGCCCGGAGAUGGAUUCUGAGACAUGAAUCCAGGCCCUACGGGGCGCAGCAGGCGCGAAAUCUUUACAAUGCGGGAAACCGCGAUAAGGGGACACUGAGUGCCAGCAUAUUAUGUUGGCUGUCCACCUGUAUAAAUCACAGGUGUUAGCAAGGGCCGGGCAAGACCGGUGCCAGCCGCCGCGGUAACACCGGCGGCCCGAGUGGUAGCCACUAUUAUUGGGUCUAAAGGGUCCGUAGCCGGUUUGAUCAGUCUUCCGGGAAAUCUGACAGCUCAACUGUUAGGCUUCCGGGGGAUACUGUCAGGCUUGGGACCGGGAGAGGUAAGAGGUACUAC